AUUUUCAACUAUUUUGAGACACUACCUCACCCCAGUCAGAAUGGCUACUAUCAAGAAAUCUGGCAACACCUGUUGGAGAGGGUUUGAAGAGAGAGGGAAUCUUAUUCACUAUUGCCCAGAUAUGAACAAACAAUAUUGAUUUGGGGAUGAGAGAAGCUAACACAUACUUCCAUCUUCAGAAGCUUGCUUUGGAAUUCAGAGUUGCAGAUAUGGAUGAAUGAGAGGAAAAGAAGAAUAGCAUGAUGUGCUUGGUAUCGGGGCACAUGUGUGUCACAUAAUGAGAAAGAACCUACAUCCAGUGACUGAUGGAAGCAGAUGCAGAGACCCACAGCCAAGUACUUGGCCGAGCACCUGGAGAUCAGAUGAAGAGAAGGAGGAGCAAGGCAGAAUCAAGAUCAUGAUAGGAAAAAUCACAGAGACAGCUGACCCAAGCUAGUGGGAGCUCAUGGACCAUGACUGACAGCU